ensembl:lncRNA
AUACAGAGUCAAUGUGGAGGCUAUAUACAGGGGGUACCGGUACAGAGUCAAUGUGGAGGCUAUAUACUUAGUCAAUGUGGAGGCUAUAUACAGGGGGUACCGGUACAGAGUCAAUGUGGAGGCUAUAUACAGGGGGUACCGGUACCGAGUCAAUGUGGAGGCUAUAUACUUAGUCAAUGUGGAGGCUAUAUACAGGGGGUACCGGUACCGAGUCAAUGGGGAGGCUAUAUACAGGGGGUACCGGUACAGAGUCAAUAUGGAGGCUAUAUACAGGGGUACCAGUACAGAGUCAAUGUGGAGGCUAUAUACAGGGG